GGGCAUAGGUUGUAACAUGGGUGAUAGAAUUGACAGUUUUUGCGAUAGAAGCUGUUAUACCGAAUUCUGGCACCGGUUGUAACAUGGGUGACAGACUUGGCAGUCAUUGUGAUAGAAGCCGUUAUGCUGCAAUCGGGCACCGACUGUAACAUAUGUGGUAGACUUGUCAGUUUUUGUGGGGAAGCUGUUACGCCAAAAUCUGGUACCGGUUGUAACAUGGGUUAUAGACUUGACAGAUACUGCGACGGAAGCUGUUAUGCUAAAAUUGGGCACCGGCUGUAACAUGAGUGAUAGACUUGGCAGUUUUUGCAAUGAAACUGGUUUUGUCGAUAUCAGGCAUCGGGGGUAGCAUGGCUGAUAGACUUAGUAGUUUUUGGGAUGGAAGUUGUUAUACCGAAAUCGGGUACCGGUUGUAUCAUGGGUGAUAGACUUGACAGUUUUUGCGAUAGAUGCUGUUAUGCUGAAAUCGGGCACCGGUUGUAACAUAGGUCAUGAACUUGGCAGUUUUUGGGAUGAAAGCUGUUAUGCCGAAAUCGGGCAGCAGUUGUAACAUGGGUGAUAGACUUGGCAGUUUUUGCGAACGAAGGUGUUAUGCCCAAAUCGGGCACCGGUUGUAACAUGGCUAAUAGAUUUGAGAGAUUUUAUGAAGAAAACUGUUACGCCGAAAUCGGGCACCGAUUGAAACAUGCGUAUUGACUUGGCAGUUUUUGCGAUAGAAGCUGUUAUGCCGAAAUCGAGCACCUGUUGUAACAUGGGUGAUGGACUUGGCAGAUUUUGGCAAGGAAGUUGUUAUGCUAAAAUCGGACACAGGUUGCAACAUGGGUGAUAGACUUGGCACAUUUUGCGAUGAAAGUUGUUAUGUCGAAAUCGGGCACCGAUUGUAACAUGAGCGAUAGACUUAGGGGUUUUUGGGACAGAAGCUGUUAUGCCGAAUUCCGGCACAGGUUGUAACAUGGGUGAUAGACUUGGUUGUUUUUGCGAUAGAAGCUAUUAUGCCAAAGUCGGGCACCGGUUGUAACAUGGGUAAUAGGCUUGGCAGAUUUUGCGACGAAAGCUGUUAUGCCAAAAUCGGGCACCGGCUAUUACAUGAGUGAUAGACAUGGCAGAUUUUGGCAGGGACAUUGUUAUGCUGAAAUCGAGCACCGGUUGUAACCUGGGUGAUAGACUUGGCAGAUUUUUCGAUGAAAGUUGUUAUGACGAAAUCGGACACCGAUUGUAACAUGAGUGAUAGACUUAGGGGUUUUUGGGACAGAAGCUGUUAUACCGAAUUCCGGCACCGGUUGUAACAUGGGUGAUAGACUAGCAAGGAAGCUGUUAUACUAAAAUCGGGCACAGGUUGUAACAUGGGUGAUAGACUUGGCAGAUUUUGCGACGAAACCUGUUAUGCGGAAAUCGGGCACCGAUUGUAACAUGAGUGACAGACUUAAGGAUUUUUGGGAUGGAAGCUGUUAUGCCGAAUUUCGGCACCGGUUGUAACAUGGGUGAUAAACUUGGCAAUUUUUGCAAUAGAAGCUGUUAUGCCAAAGUCGGGCACAGGUUGUAACAUGAGUAAUAAUCUUGGCAGAUUUUGCGACAGAAGUUGUUAUGCCGAAAUCGGGCACCGGCUAUAACAUGGGUGAUAGACUUGGCAGUUUUUGCGAAGGAAGGUGUUAUGCCGAAAUCGGGUACCAGUUGUGACAUGGGUGAUGGAUUUGGCAGAUUUUGGCAGGGACGUUGUUAUGCUGAAAUCGAGCACCGGUUGUAACCUGGGUGAUAGACUUGGCAGAUUUUUCGACGAAAGCUGUUAUGCCGAAAUCGGGCACCGAUUGUAAUAUGAGUCGACUUAGGGGUUUUUGGGACAGAAGUUGUUAUACCGAAUUCCGGCACAGGUUGUAACAUAAGUGAUAGACUGACAAGGAAGCUGUUAUGCUAAAAUCGGACACAGGUUGUAACAUGGGUGAUAGACUUGGCAGAUUUUGCGACGAAAGUUGUUAUGCCGAUAUCGGGCACCGAUUGUAACAUGAGUGACAGACUUAAGGGUUUUUGGGACGGAAGCCGUUAUGUCAAAUUUUGGCACCGGUUGUAACAUGGGUGAUAAUCUUGGCAGAUUUUGCGACAGAAGCUGUUAUGCCGAAAUCGGGCACCGGCUAUAACAUGGGUGAUAGACUUGACAGUUUUUGCAAAGGAAGGUGUUAUGCCGAAAUCGGACACCAGAUAUGACAUGGGUGAUGGACUUGGCAGAUUUUGGCAGGGACGUUGUUAGGCUGAAAUCGAGCACCGGUUGUAACCUGGGUGAUAGACUUGGCAGAUUUUUCGACGAAAACUGUUAUGCCGAAAUCGGGCACCGAUUGUAACAUGAGUGAUAGACUUAGGGGUUUUUGGGACAGAAGUUGUUAUACCGAAUUCCGGCACCGGUUGUAACAUGGGUGAUAGACGGGCAAGGAAGCUGUUAUGCUAAAAUCGGACACAGGUUGUAACAUGGGUGAUAGACUUGGCAGAUUUUGCGACGAAAGUUGUUAUGCCGAAAUCGGGCACCAAUUGUAACAUGAGUGACAGACUUAAGGGUUUUUGGGACGAAAGCUGUUAUGCCGAAUUUCGGCACCGGUUGUAACAUGGGUGAUAAACUUGGCAGUUUUUGCGAUAGAAGCUGUUAUGCCAAAGUCGGGCACCGAUUGUAACAUGAGUAAUAAUCUUGGCAGAUUUUGCGACAGAAGCUGUUAUGCCGAAAUCGGGCACCGGCUAUAACAUGGGUGAUAGACUUGGCAGUUUUUGCGAAGGAAGGUGUUAUGCCGAAAUCGGGCACCAGUUGUGACAUGGGUGAUGGACUUGGCAGAUUUUGGCAGGGACGUUGUUAUGCUGAAAUCGAGCACCGGUUGUAACCUGGGUGAUAGACUUGACAGAUUUUUCGACAAAAGCUGUUAUGCCGAAAUCGGGCACCGAUUCUAACAUGAGUGAUAGACUUAGGGGUUUUUGGGACAGAAGCUGUUAUACCGAAUUCUGGCACCGAUUGUAACAUGGUUGAUAGACUUGGCAGUUUUUGCGAUAGAAGCAGUUAUGCCGAAAUCGGGCACCGAUUGUAACAUGGGUGAUAGGCUUGGCAGAUUUUGUGACAGAAGCUGUUAUGCCGAAAUUGGGCACCGGCUGUAACAUGGGUGAUAGAAUUGGCAGUUUUUGUGACGGAAUAGGUUUUGCCGAUAUCGGGCAUCGGGGGUAGCAUGUGUGAUAGACUUGGCAGUUUUUGGGAUGGAAGCUGUUAUGCCGAAAUCGGGUACCGGUUGUAACAUGGGUGAUAGACUUGACAGUUUUUGCGAUAGAAGCUGUUAUGCCGAAAUCGAGCACCAGUUGUAACAUAGGUCAUAAACUUGGUCAUUUUUGGGAUGAUAGCUGUUAUGCCGAAAUCGGGCAGCGGUUGUAACAUAGGUGAUAGACUUGGCAGUUUUUGCAAAGGAAGGUGUUAUGCUGAAAUCGGGCACCAGUUGUAACAUGGAUGUUGGACUUGGCAGAUUUUGGCAGGGACGUUGUUGUGCUGAAGUCGAGCACCGGUUAUAACAUGAGUGAUAAAUUUGGCAGAUUUUGCAACGAAACUUGUUAUGCCGAAAUCGG
rnacentral:lncRNA from 1 species